AGCAGCCGCGGUAAUUCCAGCUCCAAUAGCGUAUAUUAAAGUUGUUGCAGUUAAAAGCUCGUAGUUGAAUUUCGGGAUCAAUUAAUUGGUCGUGCCUCUGGUACGCACUGGUUUUAUUGGUUUCUCCCUUCUGACGAACCACGAUGUCAUUAAUUUGGUGUCGUGGAGAAUCAGGACUGUUACUUUGAAAAAUUGAGUGUUUAAAGCAGGCUAACGCUUGAAUACAUUAGCAUGGAAUAAUGAAAUAGGACGUUUGAUCCUAUU
rnacentral:misc_RNA from 1 species